GAUGAACGCUGGCGGCGUGCUUAACACAUGCAAGUCGAACGAAGCAUUUGCGACAGAUUUUUUCGGAAUGAAGUUGCUUAUGACUGAGUGGCGGACGGGUGAGUAACGCGUGGGUAACCUGCCUUGUACUGGGGGAUAGCAGCUGGAAACGGCUGGUAAUACCGCAUAAGCGCACAAUGUUGCAUGACAUGGUGUGAAAAACUCCGGUGGUAUAAGAUGGACCCGCGUCUGAUUAGCUAGUUGGUGAGAUAACAGCCCACCAAGGCGACGAUCAGUAGCCGACCUGAGAGGGUGACCGGCCACAUUGGGACUGAGACACGGCCCAGACUCCUACGGGAGGCAGCAGUGGGGAAUAUUGCACAAUGGAGGAAACUCUGAUGCAGCGGCGCCGCGUGAGUGAAGAAGUAAUUCGUUAUGUAAAGCUCUAUCAGCAGGGAAGAUAGUGACGGUACCUGACUAAGAAGCUCCGGCUAAAUACGUG
rnacentral:rRNA from 1 species